UACGUAGGGUGCAAGCGUUAAUCGGAAUUACUGGGCGUAAAGCGUGCGCAGGCGGUUGUGUAAGUCAGAUGUGAAAUCCCCGGGCUCAACCUGGGAAUUGCAUUUGAGACUGCACGGCUAGAGUGUGUCAGAGGGGGGUAGAAUUCCACGUGUAGCAGUGAAAUGCGUAGAGAUGUGGGGGAAUACCGAUGGCGAAGGCAGCCCCCUGGGAUAACACUGACGCUCAUGCACGAAAGCGUGGGGAGCAAACAGG
rnacentral:rRNA from 1 species